CACUCUAAGCGGGGGAUCACUCGGCUCAUGGGUCGAUGAUAAACGCAGCAAACUGUGCGUCAUCGUGUGAACUGCAGGACACGUGAACCUCGACAUUUUUGAACGCAUAUCCGCAGUCCAUGCUGUUUGGGUUCUUUCAAUUACAUUUAUAGUGCUG
rfam:Drosophila persimilis strain MSH-3 cont1.012597, whole genome shotgun sequence.